rnacentral:misc_RNA from 1 species
GAUGAAGAACGUAGCGAAAUGCGAUACGUAGUGUGAAUUGCAGAAUUCAGUGAAUCAUCGAAUCUUUGAACGCACAUUGCGCCCGCCAGUAUUCUGGCGGGCAUGCCUGUUCGAGCGUCAUUUCAACCAUCAAGCCCCCGGGCUUGUGUUGGGGACCUGCGGCUGCCGCAGGCCAUGAAAAGCAGUGGCGGGCUCGCUGUCACACCGAGCGUAGUAGAUUUUAUCUCGCUCAGGGCGUGCUGCGGGUUCCGGCCGUUAAACCACCUUCAUAACCCAAGGUUGACCUCGGAUCAGGUAGGAAGACCCGCUGAACUUAAGCAUAUCAAUAAGCGGAGGA